rnacentral:misc_RNA from 1 species
GGAGGUAAAAGUCGUAACAAGGUUUCCGUAGGUGAACCUGCGGAAGGAUCAUUCAUAAUAAAGUGUUUUAUGGCACUUUUUAAAAAUCCAUAUCCACCUUGUGUGCAAUGUUAGAUCUCGUCAAUCUUGGCGAGAUUUUUAUACAUCAACUCAUUCUUUAACUAAUUUGUCUGAAAAAUAUUAUGAAUACUUAAUUCAAAAUACAACUUUCAACAACGGAUCUCUUGGCUCUC